GCUCCGGCUUGUUUCCUCGCAUUUGAGUUGGAGGCGCCUGGAAGGAGGAGAGAGCUGCAGCCUCGCCUCAGGAGCGGGGCCUAGGCGGGCCGCCCGCCCAAGGCACCGUCUCAAUGCAUUGACUCUCCACAAGGGGCGUGUUUUGUUUUUUUCUCUUUCUCUCAUUUUAGCCCCACAAAACUGCCCUGUGAGGGCGAGAAGCCCGGAAAAAAAAGGGGGGGGGAUUCCUCUGAGGAUUUCAAACCUCCCCCCACACCACACACUCUAAGAGGGGCAACCUCAGUUGGGAGAAAGUGGCUGCUGCCUCAAAAGAGCCUCUUCUUGGUGCUGAAAUGGCUAUUUUGUAGCCUUCAGAUAUCCCCACAGUCCUGUGAGGUUCCUCUGGCUGGGAGAGAGUGGCUGCCUCUCAAAAAAGCUUAAUUUUCUAGGAGCAAUUUACUGCUCUUUAAAGAUAUCCACAGCCCUGUGAGGCUUCUCUGGGUGGCUGCCUCAAAAGAGCAUAAAUCUUAAAGGGCAAUUCUGUGGCUGGCCUAGGGUGUUUCCAGGGUUUUGUUAUGGGUGGCUUCCCCCCAUUAUUUCUAUAUGCUGCUUGCAAUAUUGUUUAAAUACAAACUUAAAAUAUUGUUUAAAACCAAAAUAGGCUUUAAAUAGGAUAAAAUCUAAUAUGCAUAGACUAAAAUAGAAAAGAAUAGGAUAAAAUCUAAACAAAGUAAGCUAGUGUAUUAUAAUAUAGGAUCAUUAAUUUAAUAGGUGAAGUAAACAAAAAAAAUAGUGUGAAGCAUUAUCAAGCAGAUUAAAUAUUUUAGAACAAUUAGUGUAUUAAAAUAAUAUUCAAGGAAGCAUAUGGAAAGAAGGGGAAAAGCUUAUCAAUAAUAAAAACCUGAGACCCCAGAAAGCCUAGGACUUCUUCCUCAACAGCAGUCCCUAAAAGAGCUGUGAGGGGCUAGAUCCAAGCCAGAUUGCCCAGACACCUUGCUCAGAGCAGCCUGCAAGGUAGCUGGAGUGUGGAUUUUUCAUGUGGACUUAAUGUUUUGCUUUGAGUAGUAACCCCUGUUCUAGCCAGAGCAUAGCUUUCUCAUAAUGGACUUUCUCUCGUUGCUCUGUGUAGCCCCUCAUUUAGUAGGAGUGUGCCUUUUUCUUUUGGGGCUUCACAUUUUUGCUCUGAGAAGCCCUUCAUUUAGCUGAACGGAGGCUGCCUCCAAUCCUGACUGCAUGACUUUGCCCUUCAUGCUCUGAGAAGGGGGUGAGGUGGCAUCUCUUGACUUGACCAGACAAUAAUCUUCAGCUUGGUCUGCCCUACCCAUGGAAGAAAUGAAGGGCAGUGGAAGUGUGGCAUCCCUGACCUCUUCAAACAGUGUGGUGUGCUGAGCAGACUCUGCUGGCUGAAAAAAUGUGGCAAAGUGGAGAAAAGACAGAAGAAAGAACUACAGAAGAAGAAACAAUCAGGAAGGAGCAACAGGAGACAUGAAAAGUGAAGGGGAGGAGGAGGAGACUGGCAUUAAGAAGUGUCACAGAAGAAACGGGCAGCCCCUGAUGUGGCUGGACGGUGGCCAACUGCAAUCAUGGCUGCAUGACUUCGCCCUUCAUGCUCUGAGUGGUAGUGAAGAGGCAUCUCCGACCUGCACAGACCACAUUCUUCGGUUGGGUCUGCCCUGCCUGCAGCGGAAGCGAGGGACGGUGGAAGUGCGGCAUCCCUGACCUCUUCAAGCAGUGUGGUGUGCUGAGCAGGCUCUGCUGGCUGAAGACACAUGGCAAAGGGUAGAAAAGUCAGAAGAAAGAACUGCAGAAGAAGGGAGAAAAAGAAGCGCAAAGGAGCAACAGAAGAUGUGAAAAGUGAAGAGAUUGGAGGAGGAGGAGGCUGCUUUUAAAGAAGUUUCACAGAAGAAAUGGGCAGAUUGUGCUUCCACAAGUCGGCUGGCUUCAUUGCUGUCUUCCCCCCCACCAUGCAUCACUCUGAGUAGAGGCUCAUUUACCUGCAGCAUGGCUUUCUCAUGCUAGAUAUUAUGUGUGCAGAAGAUUCCCUAAUUUGGCUGGGAGGUGGCUUUUUUAGGCUAGACUUCAUGUCUUUGCACUCAGGAGCCCCUAAAAUUGUUGCAAUGCAUCCUUCUUGGCCUGGACUUGGAAUAUUACUUGGAAUAUUACUUGCAAUAAGGAGCCCCUAAAUUGGCUGUGAUGGUUGGGAUGUGGCUUUAUAUGACUGGACACUAUGUCUUUACUCUGAGUAUCCCCUAAAACUGUUGGAACAUGCCUUCUCAGGCUGGACUUAGUGUCCAUGCACAGAGGAACACCAGAUUUGGGAGGGGUAUGGCUUUUCAGGCUGGACUUCAAGUCUUUUCUCUGAGUAGCCCCUAAUUUGGCUGGGUGGUGGCCACCUCCGAUCAUGGCUGCAUGACUUCGCCCUUCAUGCUCUGAGUGGUAGUGAAGAGGCAUCUCCGACCUGCACAGACCACAUUCUUCAGUUGGGUCUGCCCUGCCUGCAGCGGAAGCGAGGGACGGUGGAAGUGCGGCAUCCCUGACCUCUUCAAGCAGUGUGCUGUGCUGAGCAGGCUCUGCUGGCUGAAGACACAUGGUGAGUGGCCUGUGAUCAGGCAAAGAGACACACCCUGAAGCCUUAAGCUUAGAAGACUCAUUCUCCCUGAGUUGAGGCUCUCUGGGGAUGGUCAUAAGAACAGCCCUGCUGGAUCAGGCCCAAGGCCUAUCUAGUCCAGCAUCCUGUUUCACACAGUGGCCCACCAGAUGCCUCUGGGGAGCGCAUAGGCAAGAGGUAUGUGCAUGCCCUCUCUCCUACUGUUGUUCCCCUGCAGUUCGUAUUGAGAGGCAUCAUGCCUCUGAGGCUGGAGAUAGCCAUUGCUAGGCCUGUCCACCGUGAAUCUGUCUAAGCCCCCUUUAAAGCCAUCCAAGCUGCUGGCCAUCGCCACAUCCCAUGGCAAGGAAUGCCAUAGAUUUAUUAUGCACUGUGUGAAAAAGUUCUUCCUCUGGUCAGUCUUAAAUUUCCCAGCCUUCAGUUUCAUGGGAUGACCGCUGGUUUUGGGUUGUGAGAGAGGGAGAAAAAUGUCUCUCUGUCUACCCUCUCCACUCUAUGCAUAACCUUAUACACCUUGAUCUCCCCUUAGUUGCCUUUUUUCCAAAGUAGAGAGCCCUAGAUGCAUCUAGCCUUAUAAGGAAAGUGUUCCAGGCCCCUGAUUGUCUUGGCUGCCCUCUUCCUUGCACUGAGGGGACUGUAAUCUGGUGGGGAUGUGGCUUUUUCAGGCUAGACUUCAUGUCUUUGUACUAAGGAGCUGCUAAAAUGUUUGGACCAUUGGGUUCUCAGACUGGACAAAAUAUUCCUGUCACUGAGGAGCCCCUAAUGUAGCUGGGAGGUGGCUUUUUUAGGCUGGGCUUUGUGUCUUUGCACGGAGGAGCACCUAAAAUUACGGCAACUUCACCUUCUCGACUUAAAAUUCCUUGCACUGAGAGGACUGUAAUUUGGUGGGAAUGUGGCCUUUUCAGGCUAGACUUCAUGUCUUUGCACUGAGGAGCCCCUACAAUUGAUGGACCAUUGGUUUCUCAGGCUGGACAUAAUAUCCCUUGCACUGGGGAGCCCCUAAUUGGGCUGGGAUGUGUGUUUUUCUGGGUGGACUUUAUGUCUUUGCACUGAUGGGAUGGAAGAAGUGUAGCCCCAGACCUGUGCUUGAGCCCCAGACCUGUACUUGAGCUGAAAUCACUGAAGAUGGGGUGGGUAGCCAGGCUGGAUUGAGCCCCAGACCUGUGCUAUCCCUUGAACAAAGAAGUCUGCCCAGACAGCCAGAGAAAGAGAAGAGGAAGAUUCUGAAAGAGAGCCUGGUCAGAACUGAGCAGUGUUAAAAAGCCUGCGGAGUGUUUGUUACCCUGACUUGGUCGGUGAGUAUUAUUUUGUAGUUUUCUCAGUCGGGACCUGAUAUUCCUUGAACUGAUGAUCCCCUGAUUUGGCUGGGAUGUAGCUUUUUCAGGCUAGACUUCAUGUCUUUGCACUGAGGAGCCCCUAAAAUUGUUGCAAGGCACCUUCUCGGGCUGGACUAAUAUUCCUUGCACAAGUAGCCGCUAAAAUUGUGGCAGCUUGGCCCUCUCACGCUGGAUGUAAUAUUCCUUACAUAAGAAAAGCCCUGCUGCAUCAGGCCCAAGGCCCAUCUAGUCCAGCAUCCUGUUUUGCACAGUGGCCCACCAGAUGCUGCUGGAAGCCAGGCAGAAAUUGAGGGCAUGCCCUCUCUCCUGCUGUUACUCCCCUGCAACUGGCACUCAGAGGCAUCCUGCCUUUGAGGCUGGAGGUGGCCUAUAGCCCUCCAACUAGUAUUCAUUGCAAGACCUCUCCUCCAUGAGGUUAUCCAAACCCCUCUUAAAGCCAUCCAGGUUGUUGGCUGUCGCCACAUCUUGUGGCAGAGAAUUCCACAUGUUGAUUAUGUGUUGUGUGAAAAAGUACUUCCGUUUGUUUGUCCUCGACAUCCUGGCAAUUAGUUUCAUGGGAUGACCCCUGGUUCUAGUGUUAUGUGACAGGGAGAAGAUUUUCUCUCUAUCCACUUUCUUCACACCGUGCAGGAUUUUAUAGACCUCAGUCAUGUCUCCCUGCAGUCGUCUGUUUACUAAACUAAAGAGCCCAAGGUGGUGUAGCCUUGCCCCCUAAGGAAGGUGCUCUAGGCCCCUGAUCAUCUUGGUAGCCCUCUUCUGCACCUUUUCCAGUUCUACAAUGUCCUUUUUUUUUUAGAUGUGGAGACCAGAACUGUUUGCACUACUCCAAGUAUGGUCGCACCAUAGUUUUGUAUAAGGGCAUUAUAAUAUUAGCCGUUUUACUUUCAGUCCUCUUCCUAAUGAUCCCUAGCAUGGAACUGGCCUUUUGCACAGCUGCCGCACAUUGAGUCGACACAUUCAAGAGCUGUCCACCAUGUCCCCAAGAUCCCUCUCCUGGUCAGUUACUGACAGCUCAGAUCCCAUCAGCAUGUGCUUGAAGUUUGGGUUUUUCGUCCCAAUGUGCAUCACCUUACACUUGCCAACACUGAACUGCUUGUCGCCCAUUCACCCAGUUUGGAGAGAUCCUUUUGGAGCUCCUCACAAUCCGUUUUGGAUUUCACUAGCCGGAAGAGUUUGGUAUUAUCUGGCUGGGAGGUAGCUUUUUCAGGCUGGACUUCAUGUCUUUGCACUGAGGAGCCGCUAAGAUUAUGGCAAAGUGGCCUUCUCAGGCUGGAUGUUAUAUUCCUGUCACUGAGGAACCCCUAAUUUGGCUAGGAGGUGGCUCUUUCAGGCUGGACUUCAUGUCUUUGCACUGAGGAGCCCCUACAGUUUUUGUAGCAUUGCGUUCUCAGGUUGAACAUAGUAUUCCUUGCACUGAGGAGCCUGUAAUUUGGCUGGGAGGUGGCUUUUUCAGGCUGGACUUCAUGUCUUUGCACUGAGGAGCCCCUACAAUUGUGGCAACCUGUCCUUCUCAGGCUGGAUGUAAUAUUCCUUGCGAUGAGGAGGCCCUUAUUUGGCAGGGAUGUGGCUUUUUCAGGGUGGACUUCAUAUCUUUGAGCGGAUGGGAUGGAAGACGUGUAUGUAUUGGGGGUGUUUGAGAGGGAUAAAAGGAGCUGGAGACCAGUUGAGUCAAGCUGAGAGAGUCUGCAGAAGAAGAGCUGAGGAAAGGCGACUGGAGAGAGAAACCUGGGAAGAAGAGCUGGCAAAAGAAAGCUGGGAGAGAACGAAGGAAACGGACAACUGGUGGUUGCUGGAGACUGCUGGAGUUGCCCAGCUAGCAAGACAGGACUUUGAGGCUUUGAGCCAGGCUGGAUUGAGCCCCAGACAUGUGCUUGAGCUGCAUUCACUGAAGAUGGGGUGGGUAGCCAGGCUGGAUUGAGCCCCAGACCUGUGCUUGAGCUGAAAUCACUGAAGAUGGGGUGGGUAGCCAGGCUGGAUUGAGCCCCAGACCUGUGCUUGAGCUGAAAUCACUGAAGAUGGGGUGGGUAGCCAGGCUGGAUUGAGCCCCAGACCUGUGCUAUCCCUUGAACAAAGAAGUCUGCCCAGACAGCCAGAAAAAGAGAAGAGGAAGAUUCUGAAAGAGAGCCUGGUCAGAACUGUGCAGUGUUAAAAAGCCUACACACUGACUUGCUCGGUGAGUAUUAUUUUGUGGUUUUCUCAGUCGGGACCUGAUAUUCCUUGAACUGAUGAUCCCCUGAUUUUGCUGGGAUGUAGCUUUUUCAGGCUAGACUUCAUGUCUUUGCACUGAGGAGCCCCUAAAAUUUUUGCAAUGCACCCUUCUCGGGCUGGACUAAUAUUCCUUGCACAAGUAGCCGCUAAAAUUGUGGCAGCUUGGCCCUCUCACGCUGGAUGUAAUAUUCCUUACAUAAGAAAAGCCCUGCUGCAUCAGGCCCAAGGCCCAUCUAGUCCAGCAUCCUGUUUUGCACAGUGGCCCACCAGAUGCUGCUGGAAGCCAGGCAGAAAUUGAGGGCAUGCCCUCUCUCCUGCUGUUACUCCCCUGCAACUGACACUCAGAGGCAUCCUGCCUUUGAGGCUGGAGGUGGCCUAUAGCCCUCCAACUAGUAUUCAUUGCUAGACCUCUCCUCCAUGAGGAUAUCCAAACCCCUCUUAAAGCCAUCCAGGUUGUUGGCUGUCGCCACAUCUUGUGGCAGAGAAUUCCACAUGUUGAUUAUGUGUUGUGUGAAAAAGUACUUCCAUUUGUUGGUCCUCGACCUCCUGGCGAUCAGUUUCAUGGGAUGACCCCUGGUUCUAGUGUUAUGUGACAGGGAGAAGAUUUUCUCUCUAUCCACUUUCUUCACACCGUGCAGGAUUUUAUAGACCUCAGUCAUGUCUCCCUGCAGUCGUCUGUUUACUAAACUAAAGAGCCCAAGGUGGUGUAGCCUUGCCCCCUAAGGAAGGUGCUCUAGGCCCCUGAUCAUCUUGGUAGCCCUCUUCUGCACCUUUUCCAGUUCUACAAUGUUCUUUUUUUUUAGACGUGAUGACCAGAACUGUUUGCACUACACCAAGUGUGGUUGCACCAUAGUUUUGUUUAAGGGCAUUAUAAUAUUAGCCAUUUUACUUUCCCCUUCCAAAUGAUCCCUAGCAUGGAACUGGCCUUUUGCACAGCUGCCGCACAUUGAGUCGACACAUUCAAGAGCUGUCCACCAUGUCCCCAAGAUCCCUCUCCUGGUCAGUUACUGACAGCUCAGAUCCCAUCAGCAUGUGCUUGAAGUUUGGCUUUUUCGUCCCAAUGUGCAUCACCUUACACUUGCCAACACUGAACUGCUUGUCGCCCAUUCACCCAGUUUGGAGAGAUCCUUUUGGAGCUCCUCACAAUCCGUUUUGGAUUUCACUAGCCGGAAGAGUUUGGUAUUAUCUGGCUGGGAGGUGGCUCCUUCAGGCUGGACUUCAUGUCUUUGCACUGAGGAGCCCCUAAAGUUUUUGUAGCAUUGUGUUCUCAGGUUGAACAUAGUAUUCCUUGCACUGAGGAGCCUGUAAUUUGGCUGGGAGGUGGCUUUUUCAGGCUGGACUUCAUGUCUUUGCACUGAGGAGCCCCUAAAAUUGUGGCAACCUGUCCUUCUCAGGCUGGAUGUAAUAUUCCUUGCGAUGAGGAGGCCCUUAUUUGGCAGGGAUGUGGCUUUUUCAGGCUAGACUUCAUGUCUUUGCACUGAGGAGCCCCUACUAUUGUGGCAACUCCGACUUAUCAGGUAGACUUAAUAUUCCUUGCACUGGGGAGCCUGUAAUUUGGCUGGGAGGUGGCUUUUUCAGGCUGGACUUCAUGUCUUUGCACUGAGGAGCCCCUACUAUUGUGGCAACUCCGACUUAUCAGGUAGAUUUAAUAUUCCUUGCACUGAGGAGCCUGUAAUUUGGCUGGGAGGUGGCUUUUUCAUGCUGGACUUCAUGUCUUUGCACUGAGGAGCCCCUAAAAUUGUGGCAACCUGUCCUUCUCAGGCUGGAUGUAAUAUUCCUUGCGAUGAGGAGGCCCUUAUUUGGCAGGGAUGUGGCUUUUUCAGGGUGGACUUCAUAUCUUUGAGUGGAUGGGAUGGAAGACGUGUAUGUAUUGGGGGUGUUUGAGAGGGAUAAAAGGAGCUGGAGACCAGUUGAGUCAGGCUGAGAGAGUCUGCAGAAGAAGAGCUGAGGAAAGGCGACUGGAGAGAGAAACCUGGGAAGAAGAGCUGGCAAAAGAAAGCUGGGAGAGAACGAAGGAAACGGACAACUGGUGGUUGCUGGAGACUGCUGGAGUUGCCCAGCUAGCAAGACAAGACUUUGAGGCUUUGAGCCAGGCUGGAUUGAGCCCCAGACUUGUGCUUGAGCUGCAUUCACUGAAGAUGGGGUGGGUAGCCAGGCUGGAUUGAGCCCCAGACCUGUGCUUGAGCUGAAAUCACUGAAGAUGGGGUGGGUAGCCAGGCUGGAUUGAGCCCCAGACCUGUGCUUGAGCUGAAAUCACUGAAGAUGGGGGAGUAGCCAGGCUGGAUUGAGCCCCAGACCUGUGCUAUCCCUUGAACAAAGAAGUCUGCCCAGACAGCCAGAAAAAGAGAAGAGGAAGAUUCUGAAAGAGAGCCUGGUCAGAACUGUGCAGUGUUAAAAAGCCUACACACUGACUUGCUCGGUGAGUAUUAUUUUGUGGUUUUCUGAGUCGGUACCUGAUAAUCCUUGAACUGACAAUCCCCUGCUUUGGCUGGGAUGUAGCUUUUUCAGGCUAGACUUCAUGUCUUUGCACUGAGGAGCCCCUAAAAUUUUUGCAAUGCACCCUUCUCGGGCUGGACUAAUAUUCCUUGCACAAGUAGCCGCUAAAAUUGUGGCAGCUUGGCCCUCUCACGCUGGAUGUAAUAUUCCUUACAUAAGAAAAGCCCUGCUGCAUCAGGCCCAAGGCCCAUCUAGUCCAGCAUCCUGUUUUGCACAGUGGCCCACCAGAUGCUGCUGGAAGCCAGGCAGAAAUUGAGGGCAUGCCCUCUCUCCUGCUUUUACUCCCCUGCAACUGACACUCAGAGGCAUCCUGCCUUUGAGGCUGGAGGUGGCCUAUAGCCCUCCAACUAGUAUUCAUUGCUAGACCUCUCCUCCAUGAGGAUAUCCAAACCCCUCUUAAAGCCAUCCAGGUUGUUGGCUGUCGCCACAUCUUGUGGCAGAGAAUUCCACAUGUUGAUUAUGUGUUGUGUGAAAAAGUACUUCCGUUUGUUGGUCCUCGACCUCCUGGUGAUCAGUUUCAUGGGAUGACCCCUGUUUCUAGUGUUAUGUGACAGGGAGAAGAUUUUCUCUCUAUCCACUUUCUUCACACCGUGCAGGAUUUUAUAGACCUCAGUCAUGUCUCCCUGCAGUCGUCUGUUUACUAAACUAAAGAGCCCAAGGUGGUGUAGCCUUGCCCCCUAAGGAAGGUGCUCUAGGCCCCUGAUCAUCUUGGUAGCCCUCUUCUGCACCUUUUCCAGUUCUACAAUGUCCUUUUUUUUUAGACGUGGUGACCAGAACUGUUUGCACUACACCAAGUGUGGUCGCACCAUAGUUUUGUUUAAGGGCAUUAUAAUAUUAGCCAUUUUACUUUCCCCUUCCAAAUGAUCCCUAGCAUGGAACUGGCCUUUUGCACAGCUGCCGCACAUUGAGUCGACACAUUCAAGAGCUGUCCACCAUGUCCCCAAGAUCCCUCUCCUGGUCAGUUACUGACAGCUCAGAUCCCAUCAGCAUGUGCUUGAAGUUUGGGUUUUUCGUCCCAAUGUGCAUCACCUUACACUUGCCAACACUGAACUGCUUGUCGCCCAUUCACCCAGUUUGGAGAGAUCCUUUUGGAGCUCCUCACAAUCCGUUUUGGAUUUCACUAGCCGGAAGAGUUUGGUAUUAUCUGGCUGGGAGGUGGCUCUUUCAGGCUGGACUUCAUGUCUUUGCACUGAGGAGCCCCUAAAGUUUUUGUAGCAUUGUGUUCUCAGGUUGAACAUAGUAUUCCUUGCACUGAGGAGCCUGUAAUUUGGCUGGGAGGUGGCUUUUUCAGGCUGGACUUCAUGUCUUUGCACUGAGGAGCCCCUAAAAUUGUGGCAACCUGUCCUUCUCAGGCUGGAUGUAAUAUUCCUUGCGAUGAGGAGGCCCUUAUUUGGCAGGGAUGUGGCUUUUUCAGGCUAGACUUCAUGUCUUUGCACUGAGGAGCCCCUACUAUUGUGGCAACUCCGACUUAUCAGGUAGACUUAAUAUUCCUUGCACUGGGGAGCCUGUAAUUUGGCUGGGAG